rnacentral:rRNA from 1 species
UACGUAGGGCGCAAGCGUUGUCCGGAAUUAUUGGGCGUAAAGAGCUCGUAGGUGGCUGGUCGCGUCUGCCGUGAAAGCCCGCAGCUUAACUGCGGGUCUGCGGUGGAUACGGGCCGGCUAGGGGUAGGUAGGGGCAAGUGGAAUUCCUGGUGUAGCGGUGAAAUGCGCAGAUAUCAGGAGGAACACCGGUGGCGAAGGCGGGUCUCUGGGCCGAUACUGACGCUGAGGAGCGAAAGCGUGGGGAGCGAACAGG